GGGGCCGUAGCCCAAUUGGCAGAGGCACACGGUUUAGGUCCGUGCCAGUGUGGGUUCGACUCCCACCGGCCCCA
rnacentral:tRNA from 2 species